rnacentral:rRNA from 1 species
AUUGAACGCUGGCGGCAGGCCUAACACAUGCAAGUCGAGCGGAUGAAGGGAGCUUGCUCCUGGAUUCAGCGGCGGACGGGUGAGUAAUGCCUAGGAAUCUGCCUGGUAGUGGGGGAUAACGUCCGGAAACGGGCGCUAAUACCGCAUACGUCCUGAGGGAGAAAGUGGGGGAUCUUCGGACCUCACGCUAUCAGAUGAGCCUAGGUCGGAUUAGCUAGUUGGUGGGGUGAAGGCCUACCAAGGCGACGAUCCGUAACUGGUCUGAGAGGAUGAUCAGUCACACUGGAACUGAGACACGGUCCAGACUCCUACGGGAGGCAGCAGUGGGGAAUAUUGGACAAUGGGCGAGAACCUGAUCCAGCCAUGCCGCGUGUGUGAAGAAGGUCUUCGGAUUGUAAAGCACUUUAAGUUGGGAGGAAGGGCAGUAAGUUAAUACCUUGCUGUUUUGACGUUACCAACAGAAUAAGCACCGGCUAACUUCGUG